UUAGGAGCUGUGGGCCAAAAGAAAGGGAGGGGGACAGUGAGGAGGAAAGAGGAGGAAAAGAAUAGACUAACAGGCAAAAGACAAUUCAUAGAAGCAGAAAUUCAAAUGCACAGCCUCACUUAUAAUGGGGGAAAUACAACUUGAGGAAAAGAUGUGUGAUCAACCAAGUGUUAACAAAAAGCAGAGAAAUGGGGCAGGUGUAAACUGCCUGAUAAUGUGAUAAAGCUGAACACGCUCAACUUGUGAUCACCAAUUAUACCCUCUAGCUGUGUGCCCUAGAAAACAUGCACCGGGAGAAGACCACAGUGGCCAGCAGAGAACCAAAUGGCAUGGAUGAACAGAAUGAACUAGUGAGGAAUUAGAAACAGUUCACAAUUAGAAAAAUGGUCUGUGAGAUGUGAAAUACUCAUACAGUGAAUUCUUCCACAGCCCUGGAAAAUGUUUGAACCAGUUUGCAGAAGUUCUCAAUCUGUGCAUGGAUUAUCGUAGACUAUAUGGGUGAAUCUGCCUAUCAGUAGUUUUUCAAGCUCCCCAAUUCCAAUUUCAAUUUCUAGCCAAGGUUGAGAAGUGCUGGCCUAGAGCUAUGCAUAUCAACAAGAAUGAAUAUAAAAAGUGUAAUGUAAAUAAUGUACAAAGUAUAAAACCACUUAAGUUUGAAAACACAUUGUGUUUAUAUGUAUUAUACAUAUAUACACACUUUUAUAUACAAUAGAGUUGGAAAGGCAUUUAUAGGAAUGCUAAAUACCAACUUCAGGUUAGAAAUUACCUUUAGACUGGAGGGGUUUAGAGCAAUAUCAGAGAGUAGUAUACAUAGAAGGAUAUAGAGAGAGCUUAGUGUAGCACGAAUUGUUAAUAGUAUACACAUGUGCUGACUCUGAGGAAACACUUCCCAAAAGAUUUCACCUCAAUGACGCUGGCCUCUUCUUAAUCACAGCUGGUUCUUCAGCCCAGCUGACCAGAGUCCAUUGUCCCAGCAAAGGAAAGGUUUUACUUUAGUGGUUCUGGUCUCUUGUCAAUCACAGCUGAUUCUUCAGCUCCAGCUCAUCGGACACCAUAGCUUCUUCCCACAAAUGGCCUGGCACUCUUUGCUUCCCUCUGAAGCUUCUCAAGCCAAGGCUUUCUCAUCUGCGUUGUUUUCAACACUCUUCUCUUCUAAGCUCCUACAGAACAGCCCACUGAGCUCUCAAUACUCAGUGGCUUUUCUAGCCCAAAGUUCCAAAGUCCUUUCACAGUUCUUCCCAAAACAACCUGGUCAGGUCUGUCACAGCAAUAGCUUACUAUACUGGUACCAGUUUCUGUCUUAGUCACUGUUCUAUUGCUUUGAAGAGACACCAUGACCAAGGCAACUAUUAUAAGAUAAUGCAUUUAAUUGGAGGCUUGCUUACAGUUUCAGAGGUUUAGUCCAUUAUCAUCAUGACAGAGUAUUACAGCAUUCAAGCAGACACUGGAGCAAUAGCUGAGAACUACAUAUACAUAAAGAACUAUCUUGUCUUUGUUCUUUUUUUAAAAAUCUAAAGUAAGGACCAGGGAUGUAGCUCAGUGGUAGAGCAUUUUCCUAUCAUGCACGAGGCACUUGGUGUGAUUCUCAGUACUGCAAAAUAAAUAGAUAAGUAAAAUAAAAACUAAUGAAUAAAAAUCUAAACAAAUAUAGAGGAAGGCAAUGAGUAUAUAUAUCCAAGUGGCCAUAUGUUGGGUAUUAUGUCUUUCUCCAUGAUUGUCUGUGAAUUCAAGACAACUCAUAGUAUUAAAAGGAAUACAUAACCCCAGGGGGGAAAGUUAAGAAUACCAAGGAAUAUAGAAUUUUCCCCACCUUCAAAGUCUUUUUCCCCAUCUCCUAAGAAAUAACUACUGUCCACCAGUUCCUUGUGCAUUCUUCUAAACAUUCUCCACACAGAUCAAGCAUAUGUAUGUAUUUUUGUAUUUCCUGUUUGAAGUGCCAUUUUUAAAAAAGGGAAAUGUGCUUAUCUUUCUUGAGCAAACCACAUGUACAGUCUGCGUCCAUGCUUCCUCUACCACCCUCUAGCCUGGGCCACAGCACGGCUGCCUCCUAGAGAGAAUAAUCUAUUCUGAGCCUGAAGAAAUAGUUUAUUCCGAUACUAACAAAAGCAUGGUAGAAGAUCUGAAGAGCAGGUACUGUGUCCUCGAGCCCAUCUCUUGUCCCACCCUCUAGUCUUUACCCAGCCUUUCAAAGUGCUCCUUAGACUUAGCAACAGAAGCAUGUAAGGGGAGAUUACACCAGCUAGUCCUACUGAACUACACUCUCUUGGUGUUAGCAUUGAUAAAUGGUCUCUCCACCAAGUAAAGAACCCCUUGAAAGGACAGUGUAAGUUAACUCCGGACAUCAUAGGCCAUGGUUGAAACAUUCAGUGUAGAUAGUUGGUAAGCCUAUGGUAAUAAUCCUUCUAGAAGGAUAGGAAGGUUAAUGGCCAUGACCCUGGUUGUGGUGAAAUAUCUCAGUUGGAUAGUACAAACUAUCCAAACCUCACUGUCAAUCCUGGAUAUCUCCCAAACAUAUACAUUCACUGCCUAAUGGAGAGCCUCAAUCAAGUCCCAAAUGGGCCAUAGACUAAAUAGUAGGCUUCACUUGUACUCCACGUGUGUCAGCAGCUUCUGAAUCUGACUUCCUGCAGGGGCUUACACUCACACAGCAGGCUGGAAUGUAACCCACUGUCAGUCAGUCAAAACAAUGAGACCAAAUUCAUUUUGUUACUUCCUUUUCUUGAUAGCAUACCAGCUUACUCCAUCCCCAGCCACCAUUACUACCCCCUUUUUGAGAUUAGAAAGAGAACUAUUAACAUUUACAUUAUAUAUAUAUAUAUAUAUAUAUAUAUAUAUAUAUAUAUAUAUAUGUAUGUAUUUACCUGCAUAUGUGUGUGGGUGUUUACCACAUGCAUGUCUGGUGCCCACAAAGGCCAAAAGAGGACUUCAGCUCCCCUGAAACUGCAGUUACAGAUGGUUGUGAGCCACCACACAGGAGUUAGGAAUUGAACCUGGGUCCUCUAGAAGAGCAGCCAGUGCUCUUAACUGUUGAGACUUCUCUCUCCAGCCCCCAUUUCCCUGUUCUUAACAAGGAAUAAAUGCAGUAGGGAAAGGGUUCCCAACUAAUUUGCAUUAGAAUUGCUUCUAGAACUACUUAGACUACAGGCUCUAGGGGCCCAGACUCCACUUGCAUCAUUAUCAGAAGGUGAAGCAUUCUGAUGUCAGCUCCCAUUGAGACCCACCCUCACUGUCAAUGCCUGCUUCCCUCCUAAAUCUCCCAAGUUUCUUUCUCAUUCCUGAAGUGACAUAGUGCUUGUGACAUUCACUAAGUGAGUCACAAUUUGUCAUGGAGUCUCUGCAUUCUCACUGUAGGCUGGAAAGGACACUGAAAUGUAAGAUGAUGGAAUGGCGACCUAAGCACCCAACACGCUGGAAUCGACAGUGCACUUCUGUUCUGCGGCAAAUCCUUCCUAAGCUGGAGUUUUACACGGGAAGUUUUGCUUCAUUUGAAGACAGUGAGUUAGAAAGGCUGCUACAGUUUUACAGGGUUUGUAUAUGAUUUAAUGUGCAAAUGACAUUUGGUUUUAACCUGUUGUUAAAAUAACAGCAAAUCUGAACUAUCUCUGAAAUGCCUCUUUUCUUGGUCACCAGACAGAUGAGUUGGAAAUCCUAAGAGUGAGAAUCUCUUGCUCCACCAUCCAGGGGGCUACAUGUCUCCUAGGAGAUCUCUCUGAUAGAAAGAGAGAUCUGUUAGGACCUGAGAACCUCAGCAGUCAGGGAGAGGUCUGCAGGUACCAUCCAUUCAGGAAUAAGGAGGAAGUUUUUUCUUAUUUUUCUUUGUUUUAAUAAAAUUUGGGAUUAAAGAGAUAAAUAAAAUAUAGUUAAAUAUAAGCCAAGGUUUAAAGCUUAGAGUUUCUAUGUAAAAAAUAUCAGACUAAUAAUGGAUAGUAGACAAUAAUUAAGUCAAGAUUGAGCCCUUCAGCCUGGAUUCUAUUUACAUAUAGACCAAAAAGUUGUGAUGUAAUCAACAUUACAUGCAUGGCAUUUUCUUAGAACCAACUGUAUGUUUUCUGACACAUAAAUGGUGAACUUUGAAAAGAGACGUCCACUCUGAAACUAGGAAAUUGGGAAAUGAUUUCUAAUAACCUAUUGGAUUGUGUCAUUGCUUCUGGGCAGGAGAAGUCCAGGAAAAUUCAGUUAUCUCUGUAUGCAAAUUACUGCCAACUUCAUGUCCAGCCUGGACCUUGACACCCAACCUCACCUUUCACCAUCAUCAGUGCAUUGAUGUCUCCCUGGGUAGUAAAAAGGCACCUCAAGUCCAGCAAGUCCAUAAACACAUGAGGUGGACAUCUGUCAGUCUUCUCUUUUCUUAGUCUAGCACCAGCAUUCCUUCGCAUACCCCACCUGUUCUCUAGUAACUGGUCCAUCGGGCUCUUAGAAACCCCAGUUUUCUAAGAGUGAGACUCUCCCCCUUCUACCACCCAGGAAGCUAGAUGUCUCCCAGGAGGACUCCCUAAGAGAAAGAUCUGCUAGGAGCUGAGUACCUCAGCAGUCAGAGAGGGGUCUGCAGGUACCAUCCAUUCAAGAAUAAGAAGGAAGCUGUUCUUAUUUUUCUUUGUUUUUAAUAGAAGUUGGGAUUAAAGAGAUACACAAAUAGUUAAUUAGUUAAAUACACGCCAAGGUUUAAAGCUUGGAGUUUCUAUGUAAAAAUAUCAGACUAAUAAUGCAUAGUAGACAAUAAUUGGGUCAAGGUUGAGCCCUGCAGCCUGUAGUCAGCUCCUAUUUUGACCAUUCACUGGUUUCAGCCUAGGUGAAGUCAUCUAACCCAUCUAUACCUUUUGUCCCAUUGGAUAACGGGGGUAAAAUAGUUGUCUGUUUUGUGAUUGUGGUGAGGAUUAAGUGAGUUUUAUACUUAGUACUGCACUCAACAUCUCGUGCUUAGUAAAUGCUAAACAUUGUUUCUGUUCUGUGCCAGGACCUAGGCUAAACAUUGGAAUUAUGGCAGUAAACAAUAGAGACACAAUUGAGUGCAUUCACAGAGGUCACGGACCAGAGGCAGAUCAGAAAACACUAAUGAUGAAAUCUUGUUAGGUGAGCUAGAGAGAGGACAGUGCACACAGAAAAAACAUGUUAGCAGAUUUAAGGAUGAGAAAAAUCUUCCCAAGGGAAGCAAUAGAAGGCUGUAUAAAGGGUUCAUGAUUGUCAUCUGUGUACUAUUAUGUAACAUUUCUUAGACCCACAUUCCUUCAGUACUAUCACACAGUACUGACUUAAUAUAAACAUAAUUAUUGCUGAAUAAACACCUCAAAAAUUCUAUUUACAGUCCUCCUAUGUAGGACCCCCAACAUUUCCUUUUUGGCAGUUUGCUAUCUAGAGGGUCUGUAGUCAGAAGUUUUCCUGUGUCCUGCCUAGUCUCACAGCUGCUUAGUCCCAAGUAAACACACAGAGGCUUAUAUUAAUUACAAACUGUAUGGCCUAUGGCUCAGGCUUCUUACUAGCUAGCUCCUUCAUCUUAAAUUAAUCCAUUUCUACUAAUCGAUAUGUUGACACAUGGCCGUGUUACCGGUCUGCUGACAUCUUGUUCCUUGGGCAGCUGGCUGGCAUCUCUCCUGACUUCACUCUUCUUCAUCUCCAUCUUUCGUUUGAAUGUCCCGCCUAACCUUACAUUGGCCAAACAGCUUUAUUUAUCAACCAAUGAGAGCAACACAUAUUCACAGCGUAUAGGAAAGCAUCCCAUAGCAAGGGUCCAAGUUUGUUAUCUAUCAACUGUACAGAUUUUUGCGUCAAACAGCCCUGGUUGUUCUCUAGCCAGUCUGUAGAGUGGGGUUGAUAACAGAACUUACCUCAUAUGGUUUUCUGUGGCUUAUGUAACACUAUCUGGAAUAUCACAGUCCCUCACAAACGCCAGUUGUUGUUAAUACUGCCACAUCACGAAGGCUUCUGUGAUCUUUCUGCAUAUGGUAAUUCCAAACUUCUUCUAGACUGUAAUGUGACAUUGUGUUGUUCUAACCUUAUCCAGGUCACAGGAUUUCCCAUCCAGAUGCCCUACACAGAUGUCCAAUCAGUCAUUGAUGCCGUGUACCAGACUGGAAUUCACUCUUCUGAAUUUCCGCAGAUGGAAUUUGCUUUAG